GCAAUGAUGGUGUAGAGGCAACAUGCACGCCUUCCAAGCGUGCGUCCGGGGUUCGAUUCCCCGUCAUUGCA